UACGAAGGGGGCUAGCGUUGCUCGGAAUUACUGGGCGUAAAGGGAGCGUAGGCGGAUAGUUCAGUCAGAGGUGAAAGCCCAGGGCUCAACCUUGGAAUUGCCUUUGAUACUGGCUGUCUUGAGUAUGGGAGAGGUUAGCGGAACUCCGAGUGUAGAGGUGAAAUUCGUAGAUAUUCGGAAGAACACCAGUGGCGAAGGCGGCUAACUGGCCCAUUACUGACGCUGAGGCUCGAAAGCGUGGGGAGCAAACAGG
rnacentral:rRNA from 2 species